rnacentral:rRNA from 1 species
GUUAGUUUUUAAGAGCGUUCGGUGGAUGCCUUGGUAUCAGGGGCCGAUGAAGGACGUGGUGGACUGCGAUAAGCCUCGGGGAGCUGUCUGACAGGCUUUGAUCCGAGGGUUUCCGAAUAGGGGAACCUAGCAAGAGUAAUGUCUUGUUACCUGCGCCUGAAUGUAUAGGGCGCAAGGGGGUGUACGCGGGGAAGUGAAACAUCUUAGUACCCGCAGGAAAAGAUAUUCCGUUAGUAGUGGCGAGCGAAAGCGGAUUAGGUGAAACCGUGUUAGUGUGAUAGACGCCAGUUGUUGCUGAUGCGGGGUUGUGGGGCGUGUUCGUAUAUUCUCUGGCGGGGGUGUGCGUAGUUAUAAAUGUUUGGUGUAGUUGAAUAGUCUGGGAAGGCUAAGCGUAGACGGUGAUACUCCGGUAGGCGAAACAUCAGGCACUGCGUUGGGCAUGUUUUCCCCAAGUAGCACGGGGCUCGUGGAAUCUUGUGUGAAUUUGCUAAGACCACUUAGCUGCCUAAAUACUUCCUGGUAACCGAUAGCGGAUAAGUACCGUGAGGGAAUGGUGAAAAGUACCCCGGGAGGGGAGUGAAAUAGUACCUGAAACCGGGCGCUUACAAGCCGUCAAAGCCCUAAAGGGGUGAUGGCGUGCCUAUUGAAGAAUGAGCCUGCGAGUUAGUGGCGUGUCGCGAGGUUAACCCGUGUGGGGGAUCCGUAGCGAAAGCGAGUCUGAAAGGGCGGUUAGUGGCACGUUCUAGACCCGAAGCGGGGUGAUCUACCCAUGGCCAGGUUGAAGCACGUGUAAGAGCGUGUGGAGGACCGAACCCACUUCAGUUGAAAAUGGAGGGGAUGAGCUGUGGGUAGGGGUGAAAGGCCAAUCAAACUCCGUGAUAGCUGGUUCUCCCCGAAAUGCAUUUAGGUGCAGCGUUGCGUGGUUCCGGGCGGGGGUAGAGCUACUGGAUGGCUGAUGGGCCUUACAGGGUUACUGACGUCAACCAAACUCCGAAUACCGUCCGGGUAUAGCGUGGCAGUGAGACAGCGGGGGAUAAGCUCCGUUGUCGAGAGGGAAACAGCCCAGAUCGCCGGCUAAGGCCCCUAAGCGUGUGCUAAGUGGGAAAGGAUGUGCGGUCGCGUUGACAACCAGGAGGUUGGCUUAGAAGCAGCCAUCCUUGAAAGAGUGCGUAAUAGCUCACUGGUCAAGUGAUCGUGCGCCGACAAUGUAGCGGGGCUCAAGCGCAAGUGAGAAUGCAGGCAUGAGUAGCGAUACUAGGGUGAGAAACCCUAGCGCCGAAUGACCAAGGGUUCCAGGGCUAGGCUAGUCCGCCCUGGGUGAGUCGGGUCCUAAGGCGAGGCCGACAGGCGUAGUCGAUGGAUAACCGGUUGAUAUUCCGGUACCGGCUGGUGACCGUCAAGUGUUGACUGAAAGGUACUAACCCACGCUAAAAACAUGAUCGGGUUUCUUCGGAAGUCUGGUUGUGGUUUUGGUUUGGGGACAGGCUUUCUUGGUAGGCAAGCGUGUGGAGUGACGCACAGUGGAAGCCUUCGCGAGGUGAUGGUUUAUCCUCGUUUAACCGUGUAGCUUACUGCUUAGGUAAAUCCGGGUGGUUUUAUGUGAGGCGGGAUGAUGACCACUUUUUUGUGGGAAGUAGGGGUGAUCCUGUGGUGCCGAGAAAAGCUUCGACGCGAGGUUGUUAGCCGCCCGUACCCUAAACCGACACAGGUGGUCGGGCAGAGUAUGCCUAGGCGCACGAGAUAAUCAUGGUUAAGGAACUCGGCAAAAUGCCCCCGUAACUUCGGGAGAAGGGGGGCCUGAUACUUGAUGAAACCAUUUUUUGUGGCUUUCUAGGGUUGAGGGUCGCAGAGACCAGGGAGAAGCGACUGUUUACUAAAAACACAGGUGCGUGCGAAGCCGUAAGGCGAUGUAUACGUACUGACGCCUGCCCGGUGCUGGAAGGUUAAGAGGAACCGUCAACCUUUGUUGGUGAAGCGGUGAAUUUAAGCCCCAGUAAACGGCGGUGGUAACUAUAACCAUCCUAAGGUAGCGAAAUUCCUUGUCGGGUAAGUUCCGACCUGCACGAAUGAAAUUGCAUUACGAGUAAAGAUGCUCGUUACGCGCAGAAGGACGGAAAGACCCCGGGACCUUUACUAUAGCUUGGUAUUGGUGCGCGUUAUAGCUUGUGUAGGAUAGGUGGGAGACUGUGAAGUGGUCACGCUAGUGAUUGUGGAGUCGUUGUUGAAAUACCACUCUGGUUAUAGCGUGUGCCUGAACCUUGGCCCGUGAUCCGGGUUAGGGACAGUGCCUGGUGGGUAGUUUAACUGGGGCGGUUGCCUCCUAAAUUGUAACGGAGGCGCUCAAAGGUUCCCUCAUCCUGGUCGGUAACCAGGUGUUGAGUGUAAGUGCACAAGGGAGCUUGACUGCGAGACUGACAGGUCGAGCAGGUACGAAAGUAGGAACUAGUGAUCCGGCGAUCCCGUGUGGGUGGGUCGUCGCUCAACGGAUAAAAGGUACCCCGGGGAUAACAGGCUGA